UACGAAGGGGGCUAGCGUUGUUCGGAAUUACUGGGCGUAAAGCGCGCGCAGGCGGUCCUUUAAGUCAGGGGUGAAAGCCCAGAGCUCAACUCUGGAACUGCCUUUGAAACUAGAGGACUUGGGUACGGGAGAGGUGAGUGGAAUCCCGAGUGUAGAGGUGAAAUUCGUAGAUAUUCGGAAGAACACCAGUGGCGAAGGCGGCUCACUGGCCCGUUACCGACGCUCAGGCGCGACAGCGUGGGGAGCAAACAGG
rnacentral:rRNA from 1 species